rnacentral:lncRNA from 1 species
UGAGGUAGGGAAGGAUGGGAAAGAAGGCUUUGUGGAGUUUUUCAGUUCAGAUAUAUAAUUCUGAUGCGUGUACUUUAUUCAAUUAUAAUCAGUUUUCAAUUAUCCUCCUUUGUAAGUAAUGAAUCACCAAUAUUGUUGACUUUGUACUACCCUGGUUACUCCUCAUUUGAUGGGGAGUUUUCAGCAGAUGGUCUAUUUCUAUUUUUCUGAUAAAACAUUUGCUGUGAAAGAAAUUUAAAGUUGAGAAGCCAAAUGAAAAUUUUGAAUUAGCUGUAUACUGAAAUAA